rnacentral:rRNA from 1 species
UACGAAGGGGGCGAGCGUUGUUCGGAAUUACUGGGCGUAAAGCGUGCGCAGGCGGUUCGUGAUGUCUGGUGUGAAAGCCCCGGGCUUAACCUGGGAAUUGCAUUGGAAACUAGCGGGCUGGAGUGUGGCAGAGGGGGGUGGAAUUCCACGUGUAGCAGUGAAAUGCGUAGAGAUGUGGAGGAACACCGAUGGCGAAGGCAGCCCCCUGGGCUAACACUGACGCUCAUGCACGAAAGCGUGGGGAGCAAACAGG